rnacentral:rRNA from 1 species
UGGGGGAUAUUGCGCAAUGGGGGCAACCCUGACGCAGCAACGCCGCGUGAAGGAAGACGGUUUUCGGAUUGUAAACUUCUUUUAUUAAGGACGAAUAAUGACGGUACUUAAUGAAUAAGCUCCGGCUAACUACGUGCCAGCAGCCGCGGUAAUACGUAGGGAGCAAGCGUUAUCCGGAUUUACUGGGUGUAAAGGGUGCGUAGGCGGCUUGGUAAGUCAGAUGUGAAAUGUAUGGGCUCAACCCAUGCACUGCAUUUGAAACUAUCGAGCUUGAGUGAAGUAGAGGUAGGCGGAAUUCCCUGUGUAGCGGUGAAAUGCGUAGAGAUAGGGAGGAACACCAGUGGCGAAGGCGGCCUACUGGGCUUUAACUGACGCUGAGGCACGAAAGCGUGGGUAGCAAACAGG